rnacentral:pre_miRNA from 11 species
UUCUGGGACCUGAAAGACCCCCAGAGUGGGGAGACCCUCACUCAAGUCUCAGGAUAAGCUGAUGCCCCAAUAAUUCAAGAGAGACC